CCGUUGUUGUGUGUGCAACUCCUGUGCAGCACAAACCCUGAUGGUUGUGUUUGUGCUGCCCUGCCUGGCACAGGGUGGCACAGACACAUCUGCUGCAAAGCCCUUUUACACCGCUCUGGGUGCAAACACAACCAGUUCAGAACCAGCUGGGGCUCUCAAACCACAUAAUGCAUCAGUCCAGGUCACAAUGGAACUGGAUGAACUUCAAACAUAGCUGCAGACCCAGCUUGCUGUCUUCUACAUGAAGCUGAACCUGAACUCCACAGCGCUCCUCAGCUCUCCUGAGCUCUGCUCUCCCAGGGAAGGGGUCUCCCAUCCAUCCAUGGAGACUGCAGCCUGCAGUGUGGGAUUCCACGGCACUGGGAAGCACCGUCAGGCACAGCUCUCCUUCCUGGACACUCCAGUCAGACUCAUCAAUAUCUCCUGCUCAUUGCUGAGCUCAGGUGAACCAGUAAAGGAACACAGAGAACGUUCCAUGUCCCACUCUGUUUCCCACUUCCAUUUCUGAGAAUCAGCUCCAGGUGUCAGGAAAAGCC